AAGGGAGCUUGCUCCCGGAUGUUAGCGGCGGACGGGUGAGUAACACGUGGGUAACCUGCCUGUAAGACUGGGAUAACUCCGGGAAACCGGAGCUAAUACCGGAUAGUUCCUUGAACCGCAUGGUUCAAGGAUGAAAGACGGUUUCGGCUGUCACUUACAGAUGGACCCGCGGCGCAUUAGCUAGUUGGUGAGGUAACGGCUCACCAAGGCGACGAUGCGUAGCCGACCUGAGAGGGUGAUCGGCCACACUGGGACUGAGACACGGCCCAGACUCCUACGGGAGGCAGCAGUAGGGAAUCUUCCGCAAUGGACGAAAGUCUGACGGAGCAACGCCGCGUGAGUGAUGAAGGUUUUCGGAUCGUAAAGCUCUGUUGUUAGGGAAGAACAAGUGCAAGAGUAACUGCUUGCACCUUGACGGUACCUAACCAGAAAGCCACGGCUAACUACGUGCCAGCAGCCGCGGUAAUACGUAGGUGGCAAGCGUUGUCCGGAAUUAUUGGGCGUAAAGGGCUCGCAGGCGGUUUCUUAAGUCUGAUGUGAAAGCCCCCGGCUCAACCGGGGAGGGUCAUUGGAAACUGGGAAACUUGAGUGCAGAAGAGGAGAGUGGAAUUCCACGUGUAGCGGUGAAAUGCGUAGAGAUGUGGAGGAACACCAGUGGCGAAGGCGACUCUCUGGUCUGUAACUGACGCUGAGGAGCGAAAGCGUGGGGAGCGAACAGGAUUAUAUACCCUGGGUAGUC
rnacentral:rRNA from 1 species